CAGCAAAUAUCUUCCACUGAGAUCGUGUGGUUUUAAUCAUACAAGGAGAGUGGCAGAAGAACAGAAAGAUUGAAACCAAGGACAGAGAACACCUGAAAUUGCUUCAGGGUCAUAUGUCACAGCGCUGGGCAUUUCAUUUGGGUAAGCCUGUCUUCUCCGGGGAACACAGCACUCAGAACCGUCUCGGCCCCUGCAUAAGCCUGCAUGAGUCUAUACGUGAGCCUAUAACUAACUUGUCUUAAGAAUUUCCACUCCUUCCAUACUCUGAUUUAAAUUUGAAGGCAUCAAAACAAAAACAAUCAAGAUUUCAGAUUCCAAA
rnacentral:lncRNA from 1 species